rnacentral:rRNA from 1 species
UACGUAGGGUGCAAGCGUUGUCCGGAAUUAUUGGGCGUAAAGAGCUCGUAGGCGGUUUGUCGCGUCGGCUGUGAAAUCCCGAGGCUCAACCUCGGGCCUGCAGUCGAUACGGGCAAACUAGAGUGUGGUAGGGGAGACUGGAAUUCCUGGUGUAGCGGUGAAAUGCGCAGAUAUCAGGAGGAACACCGGCGGCGAAGGCGGGUCUCUGGGCCAUAACUGACGCUGAGCUGCGAAAGCUAGGGGAGCAAACAGG